UGUCAAGUGUCAACGAAAGAAAUGGCAAAGAGAUUGGAAAAUCCAACUGUGAUUUGUGUGGAAUGAUCAAAUUAUUUAUUUUACUUUACGACAUGUAAAUAUACGCGGCAAAAUUAAUUAUUUGUGGAUAUGUUCGCUAAAAUUCCUUGAAUACGACAUUCGAGUGUGUUUAAGAGUAAAUGGUUGCCAAAGAAAACGGUCAAAGGCCAAGUGUCAAAUGGAAGAGCACCAUAAAGAUUAAAUAUAUAUAUAUAUAUAUAUGUGUGCGUGUGUAUGAAGAAGACGUGAAGAAGCCAAGUCAUUCUGUAAAGGAACAUUUUGCGCUGAUAAAGACAAGUGGGAAAUAUGCAAAGAGAAAAAAUAGUCAAUUAAUGAGGCACUUAAGAGCACAUUGCAAGCAAACACAAAAGUAAUGGAAACAAAAGAAAACUAAGACUUUUUUUACAUUGCAAAGCAAAAUAUAUAAGGCGCAAGAGAAAGGGAAAAGAUCACAACAACGGAAAAGUGCGGGCAACAGGCAGAUCGGUAAUCGCUGCUCGACGGCAAUUGUAGAAAUAAAGAAUCAAGUUAAUGUUCACCAACAAAAGACGUUAACGCUCAUUUGUGUUGAGGUGCUGAUAGUGAAAUGGGAAUGAAGUUUCCAUCGCAAAUGUUAAGACAUACACAUUUCAAUUCGAAUCAUAAACGGUUGGGUUCAACAAGAACAAAGUGCGAUAGCGCUUAUGCUAAUAAAGAUUUGUUUGUGAAAAGAAAACAGCCAUCGCAGCAGUUGGAGUUAAAACAAUCUAACAUCGAAGGCGCAUUGCCAAAAAGUUGCAGAUGCAGUUGCAUUUCUCACGGUCGCGUCGGGAACAGCGAAAAUACAAACGUUGCCUUAUCAACCCUGUAUAAUUACAUAGUGAAAGCGAUGUUUGGGAUAACUUGUUGAUGUCCAUUAGUCUGUGCGAAUUUUAUUUUUCAAGUGUGCCGGGCAUAUUUAUAUUUGAAAACAGGCGGGCACCGAACUGCAGCAGUUUAGAUCAUCAGUUGAGAUCCUUGUAGCUUCUGUUUUGAAAUCAAUGUUCAUUGUCACAAUAUAAUGAUGUUAAACAUGUCAAAUAAGUUCAGCAAUUACCAGCAUAUUGCUUCGAGUGUGGCAGCAGCAUCUUCUUCCUCUUUAGCAAUGGCGUCGUCGACGUUAUCGCCACCAAAUACAGUGCCGAAUAAUUUUUCCCAGGAUUCCAACUCGUCGAUUAAUUCGAAUAAAGCGGAGAGGGAAUCUAUUCAUUCUGGCCAAUUUAUGGUGUCCACAUUUGAAGCCGAAGAGGCACAAGACGAUCUCGAUGAUAGCGAAAUCAAAAUGCUUGAUCCAGAAGAUCCCAGUCUAUCGAAGGCAGACGAACCUAAUACCUGCAUGGAUGUGCAGCUGUACGUUCCCCGAAAAGUAGCACAACAAAAUAGGUAUGGAAAUGUAGAGUCUGCGGGUCUUGUGACGUCACAUCUGGAAAUUGAAACAUCACUGACGAAGUUGUUCAAAUGCAUGAAUUUAGCAUACAGUCAAAAAUUGACCUCUCCAAAGUGGAAUCAUUUUAAAGGAGUGCGUUUACGCUGGAAGGAUAAAAUACGACUGAACAAUGUCAUCUGGAGGUGCUGGCACAUGCAAUUUAUACUCAAGAGAAAGACGCCAGUAUGCCAGUUCGCCUCACCCUUAGAUGUUGACAUUCAUAGUAACCCUCAAAGCGUCGUCCUUGAGGGCAAGUAUUGGAAACGUCAACUGGCAGUUAUUAAAGCUGAAUACAGGAAAUGGCGAAGAAAUUUCAAAUCAAAGGCCACUGGAUGUUUAAUGUAUGACAUCAAAAGUGAAUUAGAUUUCUUAGAAUGGAGUCCUCUAAAUGACAAAAGUUUGAUGCUGUCAGAUGACUGGACUAGUGAUACAUUAUUUUCUGCAAUAAAUGGCCCCUUUCCAUUUCCGGACUCGAGAGAAAUAGCUCGCGGUGCUGGCAUAGCCGACUUUAUUCAGCCCAGCUUGGGACCAUUACAGCCGAAUUUAGAUGACAUUGAUUUAACCUUUGUGGAAUUAUUGCAAAACUCUCGAUUGCCACCUGUGCCUGAGGAAAACUCCGAUGAACUUAUUAAAAAUGUUGACUAUGGAUUUUCAUCGCUUAUGGGAUCUGAACAAAUGGACUCUAGUAAUAUGAUGGACAUAUCCGCCAGCAAUGUGGUUGGUUCUAUGCCAAACGUUAGUGAAGAUGCCAACAUGAUGGAAUUGAAUACUCCAAUGAAUGCCCUUCAUUAUAGUGAUCUCGAACAGCAGUUUGUAGCACGAGGAAGCAAUAACAGCGUCCAAUUACUCCCUGUAGCCAACAAUCGCAGCAAUCCGACAAAUCUUCAGGAAAUAGAAGGUGGCGAUGCUAUUAUGGGCAAUACCAACACGAACACCAACAAUUUAAUGUUGGCUCAGGUUAACCGUUCGCCCGAACAGCGACAACAGCAAAUUGAACCAUACGAUAAUACAGGAACUGGUACUGGGAGAUUAGGAAAUGCAAUGGGAAUAAUAGACAACACAAGUACGAUCUCAAGUAGUGGCAACGUAAUGGGACGCCCUAAUAACAGUGGCAGUGAGUUUCCAGUUAAGAAGGGACGAAUAGCGAAAAGUUCUCAGCGGCCUUUUAGACGGGAACCACACAACUAUGACAAAGCGCAACCAACUUUGCAUCAGACUAGCAUCUAUCAGCAAAUGUUAGCUGAACAUCACAAAAUGCUGUCUACUAAUAUACAACUUCAAACUUCUGUCUACCAACAACCAAAUCAACAGCAGCAGCAGCAACAACAUCAUCAAAGUUCAAGCAAUACUUAUGCGCAGUCGCCUCAACAAUACCCUACGAAUUUAUUAAACACUUCCACGAAUUUUGGAACGUCUUCAGAAGGUAUCAAUAGUGGUGGUAUGGUAAUUAGUGGUUCCGACAACUCCAGCUCGUCUAGUAGUAGGGGAGCAUACGGUAUAAUUAAUACACCAGGUGGGCAAAUGAAUGCUGAUUGUCAAUCGGGUAAUAACUUAUUGCACAGCAUAAAAAUCGAAGUACCUUCCUCGGAAGUACGCAGCAUAUAUAAUGUAGCGCAGACUUCGGACGGUUUCGUUAAUAGCAAUCAGUACAAGCCCUACACGGGUAACUUUAAGAAAUCAUCAUCCACUGGUUCAUAUAUAAAUGUACGAAGUACCGGGCCUAAUGGCAAUCAACUCUUUAUACAGCAACAACAAGAACGCAAUGCUUCCGGGAAUGAAACGGCCGGAACCAUACACGCACAUUCACUACCACCUACUUUGGGUCUACAUUUGCCAGCAAUUACGAAUGUAAUUCGGACACAGCCACAGACACAACCACAGCAAAGAUCUGCUCAAUUGUCGCCUUCUGACAUGCAAAAGCAGCAAUCUGGUCAACGCAUUCUACCUCCACAGCUCAAUAUUAGCAAACAGAAUCAACAGGCCUCAGCACAAGGCAGUCUUCAAAAUAUUUUAUCCUCACAACAGCACCAACAGCAGCAACAACUGCAGAUAACACAGUCUAUAUUGACCAACAAUGCAGUACCCAAAGAAAUUUAUCGUUCAAAUAGUUUGCCGUUGAAUGUUUCUCUGCAGAAGUUGGACCCCCGCUUAAACCAACAAGAAGGCAACUUUGCCAUGCCCAAGAGUCACAUUUCCAAGGCGAAUAAAACUCGCAAUAGAAGUAAUUCGAUUCACCAACAUAUGAUGCAGUCCUCGGCAUCCACAUCUACAACAUCGAAUGCAAUGGUUGUCGGUAAUAGCGGUUUAUGUGGUGUUACAGCCAAUAGUGGCUAUCUAAACCUCAAUUUCAAUGCUCAAUUACAAAGCGCCACCAGUGAUCCUAUGCUAAAUAGUACCUUAGCGCAGCUUUUGACGACAAAUUCCCGCAUGUCGACAUUAGGAAAGCAACAGAGUGUUUCCACAAGUGCCAUUUCAACAAUACAGAGCAAUGCAACACAGCCAUCGUUACAGAUGCAGGUAACACAACAAACGAAUGUACAAAACAAAGUUAGUGCCAGGGCAGGACCAGCCCAACAACAACAACAUGCUUCUCCUCCCUCACCUACGUUAGCAGCUAAUAGUCCCUCGUCAGUAAUGCAGCAUCAGUCCCAGCAGCAGCAGCACAUGCACCCGCAUCAGGCUGUGCAUAAAUCGCCAAAGAAAUCCACUUCACUACCAACGCCGAUAGCUGCAUCGAUGCUAUCCAGUCCACCUACGAGCAAAGUGCUAAGUUUUCCCUUGACGGCCAAUUCGCAAAAUACUUGUUCAACAAAUUUAAGUUUGUCUCCAGAAUCAUUUCAUGAUCAGGAUUCUCCUUUGUCUCCAACACAUAGUUUGAAAUAUCCACGCGAUAGCCAACGACGAGCCGGUCAUAUACAUGCCGAACAGAAACGACGGUACAACAUAAAAAAUGGAUUUGACCAGUUGCACGAUUUAAUACCCCAACUUCAACAGAAUAAUGCUAAGUUAAGUAAGGCAGCAAUGCUUCAAAAGGGAGCUGAACAUAUCAAACAUUUGCGCAACGAACGCAACGUUUUGAAGGAGCGUAUGGAUGCAUUGCGUAUGGAACGAGAUGCUUUGAACAAUUCCUUGACUCACCUUCAUUCGAUUUUACCGGCUAAUGGUGCACCAGUUACUAGACAGGGUACAGAACACGUCAGACAAUUGUAUGAACAGUAUGUGCGCACUCGAACACAGGAUAAUUGGAAGUUUUGGAUUCUUGGCCUUAUAUUGGAACCGCUGCUGUCAUCUUAUACAACUACUGUCUCCAGUGCUAGCCUAGAUGAAUUAAGGCGCACAGCCUUUUUGUGGGUGGACCAACACUGUUCUCUCAUUGAUCUGAGGCCAGCUGUCUCGAACAAAUUGAAAUAUCUUUCGAUGAAGACAGACAUACUAUCAGAUCCGCCAUCAACACUUCGGGAAGAAGUUGCUAAAGCUGUGAACAAUACAGGUGGACAACAUCCGAAUUUACAUGGAUCAUAGGAGUAAACUGUGAAACGAUAUACAUAUGUGCAUGCUCUCGUGCCUGUACAUAUGUGUAGGUGUAAAAAAUAAUAUUUUUAGAAGUUUUGCCGUAAUCACUAAGAUAGUCCUUCGACUUACAUGCCCAAAUUGGCAGAAUGCUCUUUGAAGGUAGUGCAGAUUUAUAAUGCCUCUCUCCUUUCUUACGCCAAUCCGAGCGUUACUCGUUGUAUCUCAAAGCCGAACUGCCUCAUUUGGCAACCGACAGGUCGAGUGCGGUGCACCCGCUGAUAAUCAUACUAUAUUUGUUGUAUCCUACGUGGCUAGAAUUUAAGCUGUUUAUUAAAUUUAUCAAUGUCGUCGCAAAAAUUACCAAAUUCUGUACCAUACCAAAUAGUUUUGACCAUAUUUGUAGUGAUACAGCCAAAUGUUAAUAAAGACACGCAAGGCAAUAUCCAGUAGUUAA